UGAAAGCGGCAAGCCUCUCAUGGGAUC
rnacentral:piRNA from 1 species